UCCUUGCUCAACCCACGUUACAAAACUAAAGUAGACAUAACUCCAACCCAGAGUACGAGCUUUGUGGAUAUCAUCUAUGAAAAACUUAAUGAGACCUCCUAUGCUCUCACAUUUGAGUUUGAAAUCAGUAAUAUAUCCAUGUCUGAGAAACGUGAACUACGGAAUGAAACCUACACUUCAAUCAAAAGAACUAUGAAUACAUUGCUUGGCAACAUCCUGAAUGAUCCAUCAGCUUCUCAGUUUGAUCUGCAAAAUGUGAAAUUCGAUGAUAACAGCACAGUGAUUAAUGCCAGUGUUCAGUAUGUCUACUCACAAAGUGACUUGAACAUAAACAGCACCUUUGUCAAGGAAAUAUUC